rnacentral:rRNA from 1 species
UACGUAGGGGGCAAGCGUUGUCCGGAUUUAUUGGGCGUAAAGAGCGUGUAGGCGGCCAGGUAGGUCCGUUGUGAAAACUCGAGGCUCAACCUCGAGACGUCGGCGGAAACCCUCUGGCUAGAGUCCGGAAGAGGAGAGUGGAAUUCCUGGUGUAGCGGUGAAAUGCGCAGAUAUCAGGAAGAACACCCGUGGCGAAGGCGGCUC